rnacentral:rRNA from 1 species
ACUCGCACAAGCGGUGGAGCAUGUGGUUAAUUCGAAGCAACGCGAGGAACCUUACCAGGUCUUGACAUCCUUUGAAUACACUAGAGAUAGUGUAGGCCUUCGGGACAGAAGAGACAGGUGGUGCAUGGUUGUCGUCAACUCGUGUCGUGAGAUGUUGGGUUAAGUCCCGCAACGAGCGCAACCCCUAUCUUUAGUUGCCAUCAUUGAGUUGGGCACUCUAAAGAGACUGCCGGUGUCAAACCGGAGGAAGGUGGGGAUGACGUCAAGUCCUCAUGGCCUUUAUGACCUGGGCUACACACGUGCUACAAUGGUUGGUACAACGAGUUGCGAGUCGGUGACGGCGAGCUAAUCUCUUAAAGCCAAUCUCAGUUCGGAUUGUAGGCUGCAACUCGCCUACAUGAAGUCGGAAUCGCUAGUAAUCGCGGAUCAGCACGCCGCGGUGAAUACGUUCCCGGGCCUU